GUGUGGUGCAGUCAGCCCAGGGCAAAGGGUCUGUGCUGGGUGCUUUGCUGGUGCAGGUGCUGUUUGCAUUUCAGAGGUCAGGUUCUGGGAGGCCACUUGCAGAGCAAAUGCCUUUGCUGUGCACGUAGUCCUCAUGAACUGGAAGAACCUGAAGUACUGGUAAAAAGGGGACCCUGCAGCCAGCUCCUGCCAGGAUUCACUCGGGGAUCCUUCUUUCCUUGUCCCUUCCAGAAACGAACUAACAUUUGCUGGGAGGUGCCUUUCUAACGUGGCAGCUGGCCCACGAGGCUGUGCUGAGGCACGGCUGGGUCUAGGAUGCACUAAAAAUAUAGGUGACAAAUGCAAACAUUGACUUUUGCUGGGGUGGAAGUGUGUCUGUGAGACGUGCCAGCGGGGCGGCCAGUGGUGCUGGGUGCUGCGGGUGCCAGCAGGGACAUGUGCUCUGCGUCUUGGUUGUUGUCUGUUGUGUCUUUUAAAGCAAUGGUUUAAAAUUGUAACAGCUUCACACAUUAAAAUUGCAGCUUUUCCCUAAUUGUGUUGUGGUAAAUGUGUUUCAACAGGUAGAGGAGGAAACUGGACAGGGGGAAAUAAGGAAAUGAAGAAGGAGGAAGGACGUCUCGAAGGGGAAAUGCCUCCAUCUCCUCCCUGCUUCGUUUCAUUUUAAGCUCACAGGCCACUGAGUUUUACAUGUUACAUGAUUUGCACAAAUCGAUGAGUAGCGUAGACACACAAGCUCACAUCUGGAGCACAUGAGCCGUGAAGAAGGGAUUUGCACAGUGACCUAGUUAGCACCUAGCAGCAUCUGGAUCUUCAAAUCUGGUAUUUGUCUUUCUUUUCUUGCAAUGACCUGCUAUAUGCUAUAAGGCAGAUUGCAGCAGUGCCCAUUUCAUAGGGCUGUAUGACUCCUUCAGGAUGCAGCUACGCAAAGAGCAAGGCUUGGAGCUGCUUCACUUCCCUGGCUGGCCAAGAAGGAAAACUCCAGAUUACAUAUGACCAUAGCACAGCUGGACUGGGGACCUGCCCCAUUCACUGCUUUGCCAGGUGUAAAUCUUCCUGCCAGGGUGGGAGCAGCAAAUCCUCCUUCAAUUUCUGUCUGCUGAAAAACUCCCAUAGCUAAACAUGAGAAAUUGGCAAGUAACACAUUUAGAAGGGCAUUGUGGGAUGAAUCUGUUCCUGGUGCCCAUGAUGGAGGUGCUGGGUGAUGGUCCUUAUGAGGGGUGAUGGUCCUUAUGAGGCUGGUGGUGGCUGUGGGGCAGGAUUCCUGGCUGGCACACAUUGCUGAGCCACAGAGGCUUUUGCAGGCAAAACAAAAGCCAAGCCAAAAAGACCAUCCCCAAAACCCCACUUCCCUCCCAGAACACCCUCAGCGAGCAAGCAAAGAGCUGCUACCCAAGGGAAAUGCAUCAGAGCAUCCCAUCUCUUUUUAAUGCUCAUGGGAAGUCCCUAGGUGUCAACCCUGCUCCUCCUGACCCUCCUGUGGGUCUCAUCAGGAUUGAUAGAGCUCCAAAAAGCUCCUGCUUUGGAGAUUCUGUGGCUAAGUGAGGCCUUAAACUUCCAUUCACAAAUAAAAGUGAGAAAAAGAGUUUAAUGCUGGUGGUGGCAAAGGGAUCGCUGAAAGGCUCUGCCAUCCAAAGGCAAAUGAAAAGGGUGAUCGCAACACCCAAGAAUUUAUUUAUUUAAGAGCUAUAACAAGGUUCCAAAGUGAUGCUGGGAGAUGUGACUCAUGGUACCUAAAUGCUCCUGUUUGCCAGCACGCUUAGAUAUUGCUGGGACUGACAGGCCAACAAGUAGGGGUUGCAGAAGGGUGGUUCAGCCCUUCCAGCCUCUAUGGCCAAGACCAAGGAUGUUCCACUGGGCAGAGGCACCGAGGGACCACUUGCUCCAUCCCGUCACCCAUCUGCUUGGACUGUAUGCUCCACACAGGUGAGUUGCAGCACUCCAUCACUGUUUGCAAAGUGUGGCCCCUUCUAGGCAGCCCCAUAAUACAAACACAUUAAGUAAAACCAAGCACAGAUGUGGGCUGGACAGUCGAGGAGAAAAAUGCCCACCAUGGUAUCUUCAGCACCAUCAGAGACCUGACAGAUAAGGGGAUUUUGGUGUAAGUCCUGUUUAUCACACCUGAUAGAUGAGUAGAUCUGAGAAAGCCAUUAACUUUUUCCCUUUUAAUCUAUGUUUUUUCUCUGCUGACUGUGGUCAAACCUGCUGUACCCACAUCCAGCCCCUCCAGCACUGAUGCUCUGGUUGCUCCUUCCCCAAAACCCCAAACCAGCUGAUAAAAGCAGCAGUUCCAUUAUGCCAGAGAUAAGAUCCUUUCGCCCGUCUCUUGAUGAGAUGACUUUUGGAGUGAGCUAGCGCAGUAAAAAUUGUGAAUUGCAAAUAAUAUAAUCAAAUCUACAAUUGGAGUUUCGUCCUGAGUUAAUUACCUGAGUACUGUACAUCUGUUAGCUACAACAAAUCACAGCAGAAAGGGAGACUCUGAUUGCAAUAUUCACUUUUGGGAUGAUCUGCAGGUCAAGUAUUAUUCACUGAAGAGAUUCAUGAAUAAUUCUGAAUAACUGGACCAAUAUAUUUAGAAACUGUGCAAUCUGCAAACAGGGAGAGGAAAAAGCCUCAAAUAAAUUAUACAUUGUGCCUUUUUCCUGCAGCUCUGGAAAUGGAUUUGAUUGCCUUAUCACAAUCCCUGCUAUGUCCAUCCCCCCCCCCGAUAAACCCCCAAAUCUCUCCUGAUAGAUUACUAACCCAACAAGGAUUAAAUCAGUCGAACAGAACCAGCCAUCCUGCUCCGAGCGAGCUGCUUUCCACUUGGAAAAUCCAACUCCUUCAGCCACGUGUGUGAGAAGCAGUUUGAUUAACUGGGGCGAGGCGAAUCCAACCCCAACCGGGGGAUGCUGCACUUCAAAAGGCAAAGCAACCCCGGAGCAGGAUGCGCAGAGCGGUGCCUGCGAGGUCCCCAAUCCGUGAUGCCACACGCCACCUCGUGUCGGGCGCAGGGAGUAGCUGGGUGCUCCUGCCCCAGUUCCCAGCUAUCUGACGUCAUUUCAGGGCUGAGGGGGGAGUUUUGCUUGGUUUUCUUUCUUUGCACCCUUUGGGAGUGUGGGGAAGACCCUGGGUCCUCCAUGGUGCUGUUAUUGCAUGUUGGGUGCCGGUGCUUGGUUGUGGCUCAUGUAAUUAAAUUACAUGUUGGAUGGAGAACCUGACCCUACCUAUUUGUAUGGCGAGUCCUGCUAAGGACAGUGGGAUCUCCUCUGCCCCACUGCUGUGUAUAAUAUCCUGCUUGUACCUUGCUUUCCAUCCAAGCAUGGAGUGACUUGGCCAAGGCCAGCCUUGGAGUCAUUACCGGAUGGAGCUUUGUGAUUCCCAAGCACCGUAGAUGCAGGAACUGGAAGCAACUUUUAAAAAGACUCCAGGCUCCAGAUUUGGAAGGAUUUGUGACUGUGACCGUUGUCCUUCCUGCCGCACCAGUGUGUGCUUGUGGAGACAGGUGGAGCAUUGCAAAACCAACCUGGCUGCAGAGCAUAAACCCAAGGACUUUUUUCAGCAUGGUACAUGUUGCUGGAGCUUUGCUGUUGGACAUGAUGUAAGCGGCAGGAUGAGCAGGUAUUUUCAGAUGCCAGCUUGAGCUGGCAGUGCUGACAGGUUGAAAAAUGAAUCUGGGGGUUGUAAGCUAAGCACAUUUUGAGCUGGGAGCAUCACAGGGAACAUCUGCCUGGUCAUUUCAACUGUGCCCCUGUUCUGCACUCCAAGCACGCUUUGUGUUUCAAGUGCGGCAAAGGCUGAUGAUUUACAUGUUAAAUCAAACCAUUUCAUUCAGGAUUCCUCCCAGGAGUAUAAAGCACUGAUGAUGGCCACCAACAACAAAGAGCAUGGCAACACUGCUAAAAUACCAUGGAUUGGCCCCAGGGCAUGCUGAGUUCUGGAGUAUCAAAUUCGGACCCUUCUUUUGACAAGAAAGCAGGGAAAAUGCUCAAACAGAGCAAGCGCUGUACCCGCAUCAGCGUAAGUGACAGCAGCCACACACCUCCCCACCUAACUGAUAACUCAUCAAACCUUUGCUAUUUCAUACAGAUCACGGGUCAAUUAAAUACAUGCACUGUCUGCAUUGAGUCCUGCAUGGUGCCAGCACCUUCCCAGCGGGAACAACCCUUCCCAUCGGGUGCAAACAGCCCACCACCAAACCCCAUCGCCCGCGCCACCGAGGUAGAACCGUGCAUCACUCACCAGGUCAGCUUCGC